ensembl:lncRNA HDAC2-AS2 HDAC2 and HS3ST5 antisense RNA 2
AAUCCCCAGAAAACACGCAUGACAAUUAACAUCCUUGCAGAAGACAUUGGGAGACGGCAGGAAAUUUCAAGUAGGAAGUGCACUCGAGGGGAAAAAUAAGCACCUUUUACAAAAAAAGCAAGGUGCUGAUGAGUCUUGGCAUUUGGAUGAAUCAAAAACAACUGGGAUUUUUGAACACUUUAAAGCAGCGAGUUGAGUUCACUGGUGAAUAACUUCAUAUUCCUGAAGUUAAGAAGCCUGCCCUGAUGCUCAUGCAGUUACUUUGAGCAAUGACCAAACAGAGAGAGGAAGAAAGAAGUGUUGAAGAAGAGAGAGACAGAAGAAAAUCACCAUAAAAAGUCAGACACGAGAGCUUAGAAGUCAAUUAAGACAGGGCUUGGAAGGGGCAUUAGGUUUUUGGGGAACCGGUGUUACAUGAAAAAAAAAAACACCUCUGUUUGCAUCUGUAGACAAAGAUCUGUUCAGAAUGGUUGGCUUUGUGAGGUGCUGUGAGACAGAGAUGAAAAAGACAAUCUUCCAAGCCUUAGGAAAAAAAUAUUAACCAACCAUCUCUAGGAAAUUGC